AAAAACAGUUUAUCUUCAUAAUGUAACAUUACCAUUUUAUUAAAAAAAAAAAAGACAAAAAACAUAAAUAUAACUAUUUGACUAUUUGUCCAAGUUCUUCUAUUAAACAUUGCCAUUUUACAUUAAAAAUGGAAAAAUACGUAAAGAUUUAAACAUAUAUCUUAAAAUAUAAAAUAUAGACAUUAACUAAAUAUAAAGUAUAAGAAAGAGAAAUACUCAAUAUAUAAAAAAAUAAA
rnacentral:lncRNA from 1 species